rfam:Triticum aestivum genome assembly, contig: Triticum_aestivum_CS42_TGACv1_scaffold_030861_1BL
AAAGUACUCCCUCCAUCCAGAAAUACUUGUCAUCAAAAUGAAUAAAAGGGGAUGCAUCUAGACGUAUUUUAGUCUACAUACAUCUUCUUUAUCCAUUUGGAUGACAAGUAUUUUCGGACGAAAGGAGUAUGAA